rnacentral:lncRNA from 1 species
CACUCUCAGCAUCGACAGCAUUGCCCACCUCUUUGGCUAUCGUCCUCACCGCCUCGAAGUCUUCCUUGGACGCCGCUGGGAACCCGGCUUCGAUGAUGUCGACUCCAAGUUUGGCCAGCUGACGCGCGAUGUCGAGCUUCUCCUUAGAGGUGAGGGUGGCGCCGGGGGACUGCUCGCCGUCGCGGAGAGUGGUGUCGAACACGCGCACGUAGUUCGGGUCGGGGAUUCGGUUCGGGAUGUAUUCGGGGCGGGAAGCGGUGAUGCGGGGAUAGAGAGAGGGAGGAGGCUUUUGGAGGGAACAUGAGAUGGUAGUUUUGAAGAACGGUUUUGAGUUGUUGCAAUGGAAGAAGAGUUGGGAUGCGUUUACCUUUGUUUUUGGAGGCGAGAGGAUGAAAGUGGGUUGUCGGUUUGUGAAGAAGGCAGCGGUGGCUGCCAUUGACACGGAACUGGAAGCUAGCGGGAGCGGGAGUGGAGGCGGCUGCUGCUGCUUGCUGUUUUGAAAACAGAUCUCAUAGCACUAAGCUGUGACCUUUUUUUUUUUUAAAACAAAUUUUAUUUCAUGCUUAUCAAGUGUAUUUUUUAAAAGGCUACCCUCAGGUUUGGGGUAACUGCUAUUACAUGGUGAAAGAAACGUGUAUUAGUGUAUACCAUCCUACAAAAUUUUAACGUACGACAUAUAUUAAAAUCGAGGAAUAAAAGUGUUUUUUUAAUAAUUUAAUUAUGAAAAUCUAAAUAAAAAAUAUCAAUGGUAAACUCAUUAUUUGAGUUUUUUUUUUUUUAAAUCUUAUGGGAUUCAAUUUCUGCAAAUAUAGAAGUCUUGAUUUUUCGUUUAGAGGACUAUAGUAAUUUCUCAUAGUCAGCCGAAGAAUAGGUGAACCUGGGGGUCUUCAGUAAUAAACAAAACCUUCACCAUAUUAUUGAAAUUAUUCCAAACCCUAGGGGAAGUCUCUAAAAAUUACCCUGCUUCUUAUUAAACUUGCUUACGCAACUGCAGGUCUAGCGCUUACUCAGUCAACGACGUGAAGUCAAAUGUCGGAUGUAUUAUUUUGGGAGCCAUCCUAGGCGUACAGUGCCGUUGACAUACAACCAGCUGAACAGUGAAAAGGCAACUUGGACUAACAGUAUUCUACCGGUUGUAAAUAUUUUUUACAUUUAUUUAAUUGACAUUGUAUGAGAAAAAAUAUUAGGAAUAGAGAAAAUUACAAAUAAUUAUCAGAAAAAUAGUGGAAUGCUGUAAAAUGUUUGAAAAUUUUAAUUUCAAAAAAAUAACGAAUUGUAAAAAACCCUAUGAAAUAAUUGUAUUCCAGACAAUUUGAUUAAAUAUCAAUAUAUAGAGUAAUUGUUCCAAAUUUAUUUCCUAUGUUUCUUAAUUUGGUUAUACUUUCUCAAUUACCAAGUCAUAUAUUUUAACUUAUUAUUCCACUAGUUUUAUGUUUAUAAAUUUUGAAUUUGGUAACACUUUCUUCAUUAUUGGUUCUAAUGCUUCAACUAAUUUUUUUAACUAGUUUUGUGUUACAUAUUCUAAUUAACAAGGCCAAAUUCUAAUGAAACGAGUUAGAUUCCAAGUUUAUAUUAUAGGCUAUUAUAAUUGAUUAAACCGGUUACUACAUUUCGUUAAACUUUAUCAUUUUAUGGUUCUAUACUUUCAUCUAAUACAUUCAUCAGAUUUAUGUUGAGUAUUCCAAUUAAAUAUGUGACAUUUCACCACUAUAGGUUAAUACCAAAUAUGCUAUCAAGUAUUUUUCUUUUUAUUCGAUUUCUUCCUAUAUAUUCCGUUAUUAUUUCCCAUCUUAUGGUUCUAAUAUUUCAACUAAUAGUUUCACCAAAUUUGUGUCAAGAAAUCCAACUAAUUAGGUUACAUUCUAUUUCUGUGGGUUAUAUGCCAAAAAUAAUAUACAUAUUUUGGCUUAGUUUAUUCCUACAAUUCGUUAUACUUUCUCAAUAUAUGGUUUUCAUUUUUUCGUCUAAUUGUUUCACUAGAUUUGUGUUGAGUAUUUCAACUAACUAGGUAAUAUUCCAAUACAACGAGUUAACCACCACAUAUGCUUUUCAAGUUUUUUUUUUUGGGUUUGAUUUUUUCCUAUAUUUUGUUAAACCUUCUCUUUUCAUGAUUCUCAUGUUCCACUUAAUAAUCUCACUAUUUUUGUGUUGUGUAUUCCAGCUAACUAAGUAAUAUUUCAAUAUUCUGGGUUAGAUAAAACUGUGCGUUUUAAAAAAUUUUCGAACUUUCCCGCACUUUAAAUUCUUAGAUUGAAGAAUUUAUAUAUAUAUAUUUAUAUAUAUAUAUAACUAUAAUUCAUUAUACUUUCUCAAUUUAUGGUUUUGAUAUUUCACCUAAUAGUUUCACUAGUUUUGUGUUGAGUAUUCCGAAUAAAUAAGUAAUAUUCUAGGACCAUAGGUUAAUUACCACAUAUGAUUUUUGUUUUUGUUUUUUGGUUUGAUUUGUUCUUAUAGUUCCAUAAAUUUUCUCAUUUUGUUGUUUCCCUGCUUCGAUGAUGUCGACUCCAAGUUUGGCCAGCUGACGCGCGAUGUCGAGCUUCUCCUUAGAGGUGAGGGUGGCGCCGGGGGACUGCUCGCCGUCGCGGAGAGUGGUGUCGAACACGCGCACGUAGUUCGGGUCGGGGAUUCGGUUCGGGAUGUAUUCGGGGCGGGAAGCGGUGAUGCGGGGAUAGAGAGAGGGAGGAGGCUUUUGGAGGGAACAUGAGAUGGUAGUUUUGAAGAACGGUUUUGAGUUGUUGCAAUGGAAGAAGAGUUGGGAUGCGUUUACCUUUGUUUUUGGAGGCGAGAGGAUGAAAGUGGGUUGUCGGUUUGUGAAGAAGGCAGCGGUGGCUGCCAUUGACACGGAACUGGAAGCUAGCGGGAGCGGGAGUGGAGGCGGCUGCUGCUGCUUGCUGUUUUGAAAACAGAUCUCAUAGCACUAAGCUGUGACCUUUUUUUUUUUUAAAACAAAUUUUAUUUCAUGCUUAUCAAGUGUAUUUUUUAAAAGGCUACCCUCAGGUUUGGGGUAACUGCUAUUACAUGGUGAAAGAAACGUGUAUUAGUGUAUACCAUCCUACAAAAUUUUAACGUACGACAUAUAUUAAAAUCGAGGAAUAAAAGUGUUUUUUUAAUAAUUUAAUUAUGAAAAUCUAAAUAAAAAAUAUCAAUGGUAAACUCAUUAUUUGAGUUUUUUUUUUUUUAAAUCUUAUGGGAUUCAAUUUCUGCAAAUAUAGAAGUCUUGAUUUUUCGUUUAGAGGACUAUAGUAAUUUCUCAUAGUCAGCCGAAGAAUAGGUGAACCUGGGGGUCUUCAGUAAUAAACAAAACCUUCACCAUAUUAUUGAAAUUAUUCCAAACCCUAGGGGAAGUCUCUAAAAAUUACCCUGCUUCUUAUUAAACUUGCUUACGCAACUGCAGGUCUAGCGCUUACUCAGUCAACGACGUGAAGUCAAAUGUCGGAUGUAUUAUUUUGGGAGCCAUCCUAGGCGUACAGUGCCGUUGACAUACAACCAGCUGAACAGUGAAAAGGCAACUUGGACUAACAGUAUUCUACCGGUUGUAAAUAUUUUUUACAUUUAUUUAAUUGACAUUGUAUGAGAAAAAAUAUUAGGAAUAGAGAAAAUUACAAAUAAUUAUCAGAAAAAUAGUGGAAUGCUGUAAAAUGUUUGAAAAUUUUAAUUUCAAAAAAAUAACGAAUUGUAAAAAACCCUAUGAAAUAAUUGUAUUCCAGACAAUUUGAUUAAAUAUCAAUAUAUAGAGUAAUUGUUCCAAAUUUAUUUCCUAUGUUUCUUAAUUUGGUUAUACUUUCUCAAUUACCAAGUCAUAUAUUUUAACUUAUUAUUCCACUAGUUUUAUGUUUAUAAAUUUUGAAUUUGGUAACACUUUCUUCAUUAUUGGUUCUAAUGCUUCAACUAAUUUUUUUAACUAGUUUUGUGUUACAUAUUCUAAUUAACAAGGCCAAAUUCUAAUGAAACGAGUUAGAUUCCAAGUUUAUAUUAUAGGCUAUUAUAAUUGAUUAAACCGGUUACUACAUUUCGUUAAACUUUAUCAUUUUAUGGUUCUAUACUUUCAUCUAAUACAUUCAUCAGAUUUAUGUUGAGUAUUCCAAUUAAAUAUGUGACAUUUCACCACUAUAGGUUAAUACCAAAUAUGCUAUCAAGUAUUUUUCUUUUUAUUCGAUUUCUUCCUAUAUAUUCCGUUAUUAUUUCCCAUCUUAUGGUUCUAAUAUUUCAACUAAUAGUUUCACCAAAUUUGUGUCAAGAAAUCCAACUAAUUAGGUUACAUUCUAUUUCUGUGGGUUAUAUGCCAAAAAUAAUAUACAUAUUUUGGCUUAGUUUAUUCCUACAAUUCGUUAUACUUUCUCAAUAUAUGGUUUUCAUUUUUUCGUCUAAUUGUUUCACUAGAUUUGUGUUGAGUAUUUCAACUAACUAGGUAAUAUUCCAAUACAACGAGUUAACCACCACAUAUGCUUUUCAAGUUUUUUUUUUUGGGUUUGAUUUUUUCCUAUAUUUUGUUAAACCUUCUCUUUUCAUGAUUCUCAUGUUCCACUUAAUAAUCUCACUAUUUUUGUGUUGUGUAUUCCAGCUAACUAAGUAAUAUUUCAAUAUUCUGGGUUAGAUAAAACUGUGCGUUUUAAAAAAUUUUCGAACUUUCCCGCACUUUAAAUUCUUAGAUUGAAGAAUUUAUAUAUAUAUAUUUAUAUAUAUAUAUAACUAUAAUUCAUUAUACUUUCUCAAUUUAUGGUUUUGAUAUUUCACCUAAUAGUUUCACUAGUUUUGUGUUGAGUAUUCCGAAUAAAUAAGUAAUAUUCUAGGACCAUAGGUUAAUUACCACAUAUGAUUUUUGUUUUUGUUUUUUGGUUUGAUUUGUUCUUAUAGUUCCAUAAAUUUUCUCAUUUUGUUGUUUCCCUAUUCCACCUAAUUAUUUAACUACUUUUAUGUUGUGUAUUCUAACUAAAUAUGUAAUAUUUCAAUCUUCUGGUUUAGAUAUCAAACAUGAUUUAUAUAUUCUUUUUUUGUCUGAUUUGUUCCUACAAUUCGUUAAGUUCAUUCAAUUUAUGGUUUUAAUGUUUCAACUAAUAGUUUCACUAGAUUAGUGUUGAGUGUUCCAAUGGAAUACUAAAUAUUUUAUCACUAGCUUUGUGCUGAGUAUUCCGAAUAACUAAGUAAUAUUCUAGGACCAUGGGUUAAUUACCACAUAUGAUUUAUUUUUUUUUUUUUUGGUUUGAUUUGUUCUUAUAGUUCCAUAAAUUUUCUCAUUUUGUUGUUUCCCUGUUCCACCUAAUUAUUUAACUACUUUUGUGUUGUGUAUUCUAACUAAAUCAGUAAUAUUUCAAUCUUCUAGUUUAGAUAUCAAACAUGAUUUAUAUAUUCUUUUUUGAUUUGAUUUGUUCCUACAAUUCGUUAAGUUGAUUCAAUUUAUGGUUUUGAUGUUUCAACUAAUAGUUUCACUAGGUUAGUGUUGGGUGUUCCAAUGGAAUACUAAAUAUUUUAGUACUAGGGGUUAAAUAUCACAUAUGCUUUUUAGGUUCUUUUUUUUAUUUGUUCCAAUAUUUCGUUAAACUGUCUUGUUUCAUGGUUCACUUGUAACUAACAGUUUCAAUAAUUUUCUAUUGAGUAUUUCGACUAACUGGUUAAUAUUCCAUUAUUAUAGGUUAUAUACCAAAUAUCAGUUAUAGAUCAUUUUUUGGUUUGAUUUGUUCCUACAAUUCGUUAAACUUUCUUAAUUUUUCCUGAUAAUGUUUUCCCUAAUAGUUUCAUUAGCUUUGUGUUGAAUGUUCCAAUUAACCAGGUAAUAUUCCAAAUCAAUUGGUUAAAUACCACAAAUGCUUUUUAGUUUUUAUUUUUUAUUUUAUGUGUUCUAUAUUUUGUUCAACUUUCUCGUUUCAUUGUUAUUAUGUUCCACCUAAUAAUUCCACUACUUUUGUAUUUUGUAUUCUAACUAUCUAGGUAAUAUUUUGAUAUUGUGUGUUAUAUAUCAUAUAAGAUUUAUAGAUUCUCUUUUUCAAUUGAUUUGUUCUUAUAUUUCAUUAAAAUUCUCGUUUAAUGGUUCCCUUGUUUCACCUAAUAGUUUCACUAUUUUUAUGUCAGUAUUUUGACUAAAUAGGUAACAUUCCAAUAUUUUAGGUUAGAUACCAAAUAUGAUUUAUAGAUUUUGGUUUUGGAUUUAUUUGUUCCUAUAAUUCGUUAAACUUUCUCAAUGUAUGGCUAUUAUGUUUCACCCAAUAGUUUCACUAAUUUUGUGUUGAAUAUUCCAACUUGCUAUGUAACAUUCCAAUAUUAUCGGUUAGAUAUCAAAAAUAAUUUAUAGAUUUUUUUUUUGGGUUUGAUUUGUUCCUACAAUUCUACAAACUUUCUCGCUUAUGACUACGUUGUUGUACCUAUAGUUUUAUUAGUUUUGUGUUAAGUAUUUUUUUUUUUCAGGUUUCAAUUAGUUUGAAUCCAACAAUUUAUUCUAUUUUUGGCAUGGUGGGCAAUAACAAUUUUAUUUUGGUCGUGGAAAUUCAAAAUUUGAUGGUGCCAUUUUAUUUUUUGAAAUAUAUAAUCAACCUCAAAAUUUUAAUUAAAAUAUUAUUACAACGAUAAAUCAAAUAUAAUUUACCAGCAAAGAUAACUUCAUUUAAAUGAAGGAAAUAUUAUUAUUCUAAUGAAGAUAUAAAAUAAUUAUCGAUAAAUGAUAUGUUAACUAACCAGCAAUCAAAAUAAAAAUCAAUGAAUACGAAUAAAUGAUGUGUUUGCCUCCUUAAGAGGUAAAAUUAGAAUCAAAGUGACGGGCCCUAUCCAAAAUUACGAAUGAUUACUAGAGCUCUUAUUUCUAUAGAAGAGGUGAGAAUGUGAAACGCUCCUUAUCUUAAGUGACUAUUCUACCCCCACUCAAUUUUUUAAGUUAUCAGCCUGUCUUUCUUUAUAUAUUGUUAUUUAUUGUUAACAAUAAUUUUUUUAAAAAUAAGUUUUUCAAUAAUAAUAAUAAUCACAAUUAUUAUAACAAAUAAUAAUAAUGAUAGUAUUAGAGUAAGGGUAUGGUAGUAAUUUAUAAUAGUCCAUUUUGAUUAUAAGACAAAGUAAAUAUAUUAACAAUAAUAUAGUUCAUUCCAUUUAUGUUUUCGUCAGUUCAAGUAUAUAUUUUAUUUUGUUUGUCAUUCCUCAUUCUUGUUGUAGCAUAUUCUAAUUUCAUUUUAUUUUUAAUUCUAGUCUAUUUCUAUUACUUAUGAUAAGUGCAUAUUUUCUCUAUAUUUUACUCUCAAUUUCUCCAAUUUUUUCUUAUUUUGUUCUUAAAUACUGUAAUUAUUUUAGUUAAUUUUAAUUUAGUUAUUUUAUCAACUUAUAUUUUACUAUGUUAAUUUUUUUUUAAUUUUUUAUAUUUUAUUAUUGCAGACUUUAUCCUUAACUUCAUAUUGUUAGUCAAUUAUAUUAUUUUUUUAAUAGAAAAUUAAUUGGAGAUUAUAGAUAAAAAUAACAUAAAAUUUUUAAUUUGGGAAGCAAUCAAGAUUAAAUUGGAAACCAAUUAAAAAACAAGGGGAAAUUAAGUCAAGAAGUCGUCGCCAACAAGAAUUUGAAGAGAAGUCAAUUUCCUCAAGCUUCAAAUGGACAUGCAUUAUUGGAAAAUAAACAAUUUACUUUGACCAUCGCAUGUGCAUGGCAAUAAAAAAAGGAAUGGAAAUCCUAAUGUGAUUAUAAGUGAAUUGAUCACGUGCAUGGCUUUAUAAGUGCAUGCAAGAAUCACAAGACCAAUUUUAAAAGAUUGCAUGUAUAAGUCUUGCCUCAGGUAAAGUCCACGUGAAUGGCAAUUACGGAAAGUAAAUUAAUUGCUUUAAAUUGGAAAUAGAAUCCAAAUUGGAUUCGGCCAACCUUGGGCAUUAUUAAAGCCAACUUUUGGCUUCUGAAGACGUAUACAACCGGCAGCCAAAAGGGAUUGAAGAGAGAGGAGCCGCAAGAAGAAGGAAAAAAAAAAAAAAAGGAGAAGUUGAAAGGAAUUAAAUUGGAGCACAAUUAGCCCUUUGAAUUAAUCUCUAUGACUGGUUUUAUCAACUUUCUUAUUCCCAUUUUAAUUAUAUUAAGCUAAAUUUUCUAUUUGAUUGAGGGUAAAUUCAAAACCUCAAAUGUGUCAUAUGAUUAAUAUUCAAUUUCUAUCAUUCAAUUUAUUUUAUUGAGAUUGUUUAUAUUCUUCUAUAAUUAAUGUUUAUGAUUUUAUUCUUAUCUUAUUUGAGUGGUCAAUCAGAUAUGAUUUGAAUAAAUUCUAUUGUUAUGUUAAAAUUCCUUAUCUGUAAUUGUUUUGAUAUUUUAAUCAUUAGUAGCAGGUUGGAAUAAGUGAUUUCAAUUGGAGAACAUAACCUAAGUUAAAUAAUCCGAGCCUGUGUGUUUAUUGUCUAUAUCAUCCUAAUAUUUUUCUCUAGUUAAUGCUUCCAUUAUGUUAAAUUUAAAGAGCUCGCUUUAAAUUAUUUAAUAGUUAGAGAUUAGGUAAAGAGCUUGUUUUACCUAACGACACACUAAGAAAAGAUUGAGAUUAACAGAGUUUAUUAUUGUCUAUAGUUGAUAGUUUCAAUAAAAAUUUAUGAUAGAAUUAAUGUAUUAUGUGCGUGUUUGGUGGUGACAAAUGAUCAUUUAACCAAAGUUUUCAUCAUUAUUAUUUUUUUACCCUUUAAUUAGAGUUUUUAUUAAAUUAUUAUUUUCGUAAUUUUAACUUAUUUCUUAUUAUUUAGUUAAAAAUUCAUAAAACCCCCCUUUUUAUUUAUAAUUAACAUUUUGUUUAGUUAUAUUUAUUUUUUUUUUUAAAGUCCUACUUUAGAGUUUAUAAUAAAUAUAACUAGCAUAGUUUUCGUGGGAUCGAUUCUUACUUACUCUGUACUAGUUGUUUAUAUUAUUAGUAAGGUUUUAAAUUUAAUACACCCUAACGACACUACCAACUUAUUAGUAAACUUUAAUAAAAAUCAAAUUUCACAUUAGAGAGAGCGUGCAAAGCAAACUUUUGUACGGUAUGCAUAUGAUAUUGUAGGAAUUUGGAAAUCCACAAAAAGUAAAUUCUCUAAUUUAUUACAAAUAGCUUCAUAAUUGAAAUUUUUACUUUUUAUUCAUAAGCUUUUGCUACAUUGCAGUAACACUUUAUUAUAUAAGAAAUUAAGGGUCUAACUACCUUGCAACCAUGAUUUUGUAUCCCUGUUUUUUCUUUUUGUGAUUCAACCAGUAGAUCAACGUGAAUAAUUUAAAUUGCCUUUCCUUUUCUUUUUUUAAGCAAUUAUAAUGCAUGAUUCAUGCCCUGUUCAUAAGAACCAUGGCCUCUUAAAAUACAAAAUAAAGCCCACAAUUACUCCCUAACUUCAGCAAGACAGAUUCAUUGAUUCAUUUCACAAAUAUACCAAUAUUUCAUAAUUUCCCAAUUACUGCUAUCGAUUCCGAAAUAUCCAAGAGCAUGUUUGCAAAAAGACCAAAAAGAGGGGUAAACUAAUAACAAAGGCAAUGUAGUCGUAGUUAAGAAAUUAUUUCACCGUAGCUAAUUAAAUGCAAAAUAGAUCACUUUUGAAAUGCGCUGUUAAGGUCAUUGUUAGUGAAAAUUUUACUAACUUCAAAUAAUACCAGAAAAUCAGAAAGAGUAAUGAUAGAUAUCUCAAUUAAAAAUAUGCCGCUAUUCAAUUACAAAUGUAGGAUAGGUCACUAUUAACACUUGUUGUUGAAAUUACAAUAUAAAUUUUUUGUUAGUGGCAUAAUUAAUGUAAUUUGAAGCAUUUAAGUCAAUCAAUUUGUGGAUGUAGGAGUUUAUUUUUCCAUAGGUAAUACUUGGUACUUUUAAAAGUGUGAUGAGUAAAAGUUAAUUUUUUAUUUUAACUUAUUGCAAACAAAGUGCACAAGUUAGUAAGACAUAAUUCUUUAAACUAAAAUUAAAAAAUAUUUUUAAUUACAAAUUAUAAAUAAGUAAAAUCAUAACCCUAAAUCUAAAAAACAGAAGCCUAUCUCCUCAGACUCUUACUGUCUCUCUCUCAACUCUCACCUUACUCAGCCACCACAGUCACUAACGAAGCCAGCCACCACCUUCACUUUUCCAGCAAGCCACCAUUGUCACUGAUGAAGCCAGUUAACACCAUCACUUUUCUAGCUCGCCACUACCGCACUUAUGAAGCCAACCAUCACCGUCUUCACGAUUCAAGCAGUCAGUAGCCAGCCACCAUCAUCACUUACUCAUAAUUCAAGUAUCCACCACCAUUAACCACUACUCGUCUCCUGCCGUCAUUUGUCGUUACUGUCGCGCCAGUGGAGGUGAGUAUUACUGAGUUGUGUUCAAUUUGUUUUAUUAUUUACUAUUGUUUGAUAUUUUUUCCCUUAAUCAUGUCUUUUUAUUUGUGAUUACAAGAUUAAGAUCAGUUUAUUGAAACUUUGAUUUUUGAAACUGGUUUUGGGAAUUCUUUUUCACAGGAAUAAUUCAGUUCGAUUUUAUAAAUCAAUAUCGAACUAAAUAAAUAAAAUAGGCGAAUGGUAUCAUUCUUUGUUCUAUGGGUAUUUGUUAAUCUAUUUAAUUAUUCAGUUAAAAUUAACAUAAUAAGCAUAAAUUAUUAAACAUAAUAGGCAUCAAUUAUUACAUCGCCAUCAAUCCAUUCUCCUGGCAUAAAAACGUGUUGCUUUGAGUUGUACUACUGUGUCCUUUAUCCACCAUGACUUCCUUUUUACCAUGAAAGACAAUGUCAUUUCAACAAAUAGUACCAAAAUAAGGAUAUUUAUACAUAGUUUACAAAUACACUAGUCGUAAAAGCAUUUCAUAUAUAUCAGAUCAUAUAUUUCAUUUAAUUUGUCAUAAAAACGGUAAAGAAUAAGUCGUUUUGCAACCUUGAAAAGUGGGUUGGGAAUAAUGAACAUACCAGCAAAGAAUCAUAGUUUAGUAAAUUUACAAAUGACAUUCUUAUCUCGAGAAUGUCCAAUAUACCUAGCCUAUGAAUAACACAAAAUACAUUUUACAUUAGUAUAGUAAUGUCACCAAGUGCAAUAACGGUAAAUACAUAAAGCAAUUGUAACAAAUACACGUCACUACCUUAUAUUCUUUAGGAAUCACUUUUGAUGUUUCUUGGUCCAUUUCCAAUUAUUUUGAUUGAAAUGUAUCAUUGCUUUCACCAUCCAAAGCCCCUUCUAAUCUAUACAACAAAUCAUGUAACUGCCUUUCCUUUGAGUUUUAGAUGGAAUCAUCAUAAGGACUAGCCCGACGACAUGAAAUUGAACCUUUAGUCGAUGUGAUUUACACAACUAAAGUGCCACCAUUUUUUUCUUGCAAACAAACAAAAUCGGGGAAUGGAUUUUGAAUGUCACAUGUGCUGAGAUGAUUGACAGGAGAUGAAGAUGGCCAUUGGUUUUCCUUAUAUGUAAUACUUCAUUUAGAAGUGUAGUUUGAUCAGCCAUACCUCAUCAACCUUAAGGGUCAAUAUCCUAGAUGCAAAAUAUUACUUCUUAAUUAUUUCUUCACUAUUAGUAUACCCAACAAUGUUUUGCUGAAAGAGUCCGCUAGUGUCAACAUAAUGCAUCUUGACCUAUUUAAUCACAAAAUGAAUUACAUCAAAUAACUAGGAAAAUGUCAAUAUGUCAAAUUAGGAAAAAUUUAUAAUGAAGUAUGAAUUUUUACAGUAUUGAUAAUGUUUUUUCCUUUUUUUUUUAAUUGUCCAUUGGAUUUAAGGGUCAAUAUCUCUAUCCUUCAUUUUAAUGAAUGAGAACUAGUUAUAUGGGUAAUAAGUAACCACCUUAUCUUUUUAAUAAUUAAAAACAAAUUAUUCCUUUAAUUAUUUGUAGAAAUUUAUUUUAGAUCAUUGUAAAAAAAAAAAUACUACCAGGUGAAGAUAAUUCGUAUAAAUUGAAAUAUAAAAUUGUUUAACUUAAAAGUUUUUUUUUUCAAUUUUUUUUUUAUAACAAACUCAAAAAUGUAUUAAUGAAGAAGAUGAAAAACAUAAACUGAACCAGCUGUCCACUAAGAAAACAAAGACUAGCACUAGUUGUGGCAACAAAGGUGUACCCAAUCACUACUAAAGUAUACGCAUUUAUUCAUCAUAAAUCAGUGCACAUUUUUCUAUAAGCCCACUGAUAGUCGUUUACGCUUCCGUUGGUGAUUGUCCAGUUCUAUCCUUCCAAAAGAAAAUUUUCAAAUCUAUAUAUCUAUAUAAAGCUAGGACUUGAGGAGGUGAUGUGGCAUCACCAUUUUGCUUCUUUGUAUAUUCUCUAUUAUCUAAUAAAUAGAGAUUUUUUUUUUUAGAUUUGGCUUUUCAUCUUCUCAUAAUUAAUUUGAUUGUAUUUAACUCAUUUAAUAAAUAGUAACUUUAUUAAUAUAUAUCAUUCCUCAUCUUUUUAUAUUUUCUAUUAUCUAACAUAUCUAAAAUAUUGGUGGAUAUUCUUUGUACUAUUUUUUCUCUUUCUAUUUAAAUUCAACAAUAUGUAAUCAUUAAUAAUAAUUAAUUAUAAGUCUUUUGAAACCUUUAUUUAUUUUAUUAUGCUAGCAGUUAAACUUUAGUGGUAUAAAAUACAUGAAUUAAUUAACAUAGGAAGAGAGGUUCUUUCAUUUCCCUCAACAAUGCCACUAAAGCCUAAUUUUAAUGCCAUAAUCUCAUAUUUAAUUAUGCAACCUUUUAUUGAGUGUCUUUUGGCUUCUUCAAAAUUUAUUAUGCUAUCAAUUAAACUUUAGUGCCUUAAAAUACAUCACCUAAUUAACAUAGGAAGAUAAGUUCUUUCAUCUUCCCUCAACCUCAUGUUUUUAUAUUCUCUAUUAUCUAAAAUAUCUAAAAUAUUGGUGGAUAUUCUUUGUACGCUGUACGGCCAAGGCGGAUGUACGGUACAGCAGGUAAAGGGGGUUCGAAUAGAUAUUGCUUGUGUUNNNNNNNNNNNNNNNNNNNNNNNNNNNNNNNNNNNNNNNNNNNNNNNNNNNNNNNNNNNNNNNNNNNNNNNNNNNNNNNNNNNNNNNNNNNNNNNNNNNNNNNNNNNNNNNNNNNNNNNNNNNNNNNNNNNNNNNNNNNNNNNNNNNNNNNNNNNNNNNNNNNNNNNNNNNNNNNNNNNNNNNNNNNNNNNNNNNNNNNNNNNNNNNNUAUUUUGAUGCAUUCAUAAAUUUUAUUAUGCUAGCAAUUAAACUUUAGUGCCUUAAAAUACAUUAACUAAUUAACAUAGGAAGAGAGGUUCUUUCAUCUUCCAUCAACCUCAUCUUUUUAUAUUUUCUAUUAUCUAAAAUAUCUAAAAUAUUAGUGGAUAUUCUUUGUACAUGUUUCUUCCUCUUUAUAUUUAAAUCCAACAAUAUGUAACCAUUAAUAAUAAUUAAUUAUAAGUAUUUUGAAGCAUUCAUUUAUUUUAUUAUGCUAGCAAUUAAACUUUAGUGGCUUAAAAUACAUGAAUUUAUUAAUAUAGGAAGAGAGGUUCUUUCAUCUUCCCUCAAUCUAUAUCUAUAUAUCUAUAUAUCUAUAUAAAGCUGGGACUUGAGGAGGUGAUGUGGCAUUACCAUUUCUCUUAUUUGUAUAUUCUCUAUUAUCUAAUAAAUAGAGAAAUUUUCUUUUAAAUUUGGCUUUUCAUCUUCUCAUAAUUAAUUUGAUUGUUAUUAUAUAAUAACAAUUAUGUAAAAAUUUUAAUGAAGCAUAUUCUUUGUAAUGAAUAUCUAAGUGGGAGUGUUAUGAAUUUAUUAAAAUAAAUGUAAAUGUUCAUAACAUAUAUCUCUUAGUCUCUCCACUAUCUCUCAUUAGCAACCUUUAGCUUCCCUAUAACUCCCACUAUCUCACAAGAAAUUAUGAUCCAUAAUUUUUCAUUAACUUCAUGGAGUGAUUAUGUAACUAUAAAAGGAGAGCUCAUCUUUUUAUUUUGUACACACACAAUUGGAAUGAAUAAAAUCACUCUAAAAUAUAUUCUCUCAUUCUAUUCUUUAUCUUGCGUUGCUUCUUUAUUUGUAUUGCUAGCUAAUAGCUUUUUUUAUUUUGUAUAAGUCUGCCUCAUCUAAAAAAAAAAAAAUCAAUUCUUAUUUUUUAUCAAUUUCAUCAAGUGUAAAGUAAGAAAAAAUGAUAAUACUAAAUUUUUAUUUCAAAGCCGCGUGAAACGCAGGUCUAUUUUCUAGUAAUUAAAUAAAGGACAAUUAUUC